GAAUAGCUCAGUUUGGUAGAGCAUGAGACUCUUAAUCCCAAGGUCAUGGGUUCAAGCCGCUGGGGUCCCUUCCAACU